AUACGUAGGGGGCGAGCGUUGUCCGGAAUGAUUGGGCGUAAAGGGCGCGUAGGCGGCCAUGUAAGUCUGAAGUGAAAGUCCUGUUUUUAAGAUGGGAAUUGCUUUGGAUACUGUGUGGCUUGAGUGCAGGAGAGGUAAGUGGAAUUCCCAGUGUAGCGGUGAAAUGCGUAGAGAUUGGGAGGAACACCAGUGGCGAAGGCGACUUACUGGACUGUAACUGACGCUGAGGCGCGAAAGUGUGGGGAGCAAACAGGAUUAGAUACCCUGGUAGUCCACACUGUAAACGAUGAAUGCUAGGUGUAGGGGGUAUCGACCCCUUCUGUGCCGCAGUAAACACAAUAAGCAUUCCGCCUGGGGAGUACGGCCGCAAGGUUGAAACUCAAAUGAAUUGACGGGG
rnacentral:rRNA from 1 species